GAUGAACGCUGGCGGCGUGCCUAAUACAUGCAAGUCGAGCGAACAGACGAUGAGCUUGCUCCUCUGACGUUAGCGGCGGACGGGUGAGUAACACGUGGAUAACCUACCUAUCAGACUGGGAUAACUUCGGGAAACCGGAGCUAAUACCGGAUAAUAUAUUGAACCGCAUGGUUCAAUAGUGAAAGACGGUUUUGCUGUCACUUAUAGAUGGAUCCGCGCCGCAUUAGCUAGUUGGUAAGGUAACGGCUUACCAAGGCAACGAUGCGUAGCCGACCUGAGAGGGUGAUCGGCCACACUGGAGCGGAGACAGGGACCAGACGCCUACGGGAGGCAGCAGUAGGGAAUGUGCCGCAGUGGGCGAAAGCCUGACGGAGCAACGCCGCGUGAGUGAUGAAGGUCUUCGGAUCGUAAAACUCUGUUAUUAGGGAAGAACAAAUGUGUAAGUAACUAUGCACGUCUUGACGGUACCUAAUCAGAAAGCCACGGCUAACUACGUG
rnacentral:rRNA from 1 species